GUGUGUGUGUGUGUGUGUGUGUUGUCUGUGUGUGUGUGUGUGUGUGUGUGUGUGUUGUGUGUGUGUGUGUGUGUGUGUUGUGUGUGUGUGUGUUGUCGGUGUGUGUGUGUGUGGUGUGUGUGUGUGUGUGUGUGUUGUGUGUGUGUUGUCGGUGUGUGUGUGUGUGUGUGUGUGUGUGUGUGUGUGUGUGUGUGUGUUGUGUGUGUGUGUGUUGUCGGUGUGUGUGUGUGUGUUGUCGGUGUGUGUGUGUGUGUUGUCGGUGUGUGUGUGUGUGUGUGUGUGUGUGUGUGUGUGUGUGUGUGUUGUCGUGUGUGUGUGUGUGUGUGUGUGUGUGUGUGUGUGUGUGUGUGUGUGUGUGUGUGUUGUCGGUGUGUGUGUGUGUGUUGUGUGUGUGUGUGUGUGUGUGUGUGUGUGUUCGGUGUGUGUGUGUGUGUGUGUUGUGUGUGUGUGUGUGUGUGUUGUCUGUGUGUGUGUGUGUGUGUUGUCGUGUGUGUGUGUGUGUGUGUGUGUGUUGUGUGUGUGUGUGUGUGUGUGUGUGUGUGUGUGUGUGUUGUCGGUGUGUGUGUGUGUGUGUGUG
rnacentral:lncRNA from 1 species